UGCCGAGCAACUCCUACCCCUACCUCCGCGUGGUACCGGCUGGAAACUACGAGCAACCUUAUUGAAGAUCGGGUAACAAACUCCGGUGGAAACUUUGGCCGUAGGCUGACAGGGAAUG
rnacentral:ribozyme from 1 species